AUUGAACGCUGGCGGCAGGCCUUACACAUGCAAGUCGAACGGCAGCACGGGAGCAAUCCUGGUGGCGAGUGGCGAACGGGUGAGUAAUAUAUCGGAACGUGCCCAGUCGUGGGGGAUAACGUAGCGAAAGCUACGCUAAUACCGCACACGAUCUAUGGAUGAAAGCGGGGGAUCGCAAGACCUCGCGCGAUUGGAGCGGCCGAUAUCAGAUUAGGUGGUUGGUGGGGUAAAGGCUCACCAAGCCGACGAUCUGUAGCUGGUCUGAGAGGACGACCAGCCACACUGGGACUGAGACACGGCCCAGACUCCUACGGGAGGCAGCAGUGGGGAAUUUUGGACAAUGGGCGCAAGCCUGAUCCAGCAAUGCCGCGUGCAGGAUGAAGGCCUUCGGGUUGUAAACUGCUUUUGUACGGAGCGAAAAGGCUCUCUCUAAUACAGGGGGCUCAUGACGGUACCGUAAGAAUAAGCACCGGCUAACUACGUGCCAGCAGCCGCCGUAACAC
rnacentral:rRNA from 1 species